UACGUAGGGCGCAAGCGUUGUCCGGAAUUAUUGGGCGUAAAGAGCUCGUAGGCGGCUUGUCACGUCUGCUGUGAAAUCCCGGGGCUCAACCCCGGGCGUGCAGUGGAUACGGGCUGGCUAGAGGCAGGCAGGGGAGAACAGAAUUCCCGGUGUAGCGGUGAAAUGCGCAGAUAUCGGGAGGAACACCGGUGGCGAAGGCGGUUCUCUGGGCCUGUACUGACGCUGAGGAGCGAAAGCUAGGGGAGCAAACGGG
rnacentral:rRNA from 1 species